AUUGAACGCUGGCGGCAGGCCUAACACAUGCAAGUCGAACGAUUGGCGGACGGGUGAGUAAUGUCUGGGAAACUGCCCGAUGGAGGGGGAUAACUACUGGAAACGGUUUCUCAUAUCGCAUACCAUCGGAUGUGCCCCGAUGGGAUUAGCUAGUAGGUGGGGUAACGGCUCACCUAGGCGACGAUCCCUAGCUGGUCUGAGAGGAUGACCAGCCACACUGGAACUGAGACACGGUCCAGACUCCUACGGGAGGCAGCAGUGGGGAAUAUUGCACAAUGGGCGCAAGCCUGAUACAGCCAUGCCGCGUGUAUGAAGAAGGCCUUCGGGUUGUAAAGUACUUUCAGCGAGGAGGCGUUACUCGCAGAAGAAGCACCGGCUAACUCCGUGCCAGCCGCCGCGGUAAUUC
rnacentral:rRNA from 1 species